rnacentral:rRNA from 1 species
GACGAACGCUGGCGGCGUGCCUAACACAUGCAAGUCGAACGGGGUAAUGACUUCGGUUAUUACUUAGUGGCGAACGGGUGAGUAAUGCAUGAGCAACCUGCCCUUCAGUGGGGGACAACAGUCGGAAACGACUGCUAAUACCGCAUAACAUUUCCGGGAGCAUCUCUUGGAAAUCAAAGAUUUAUUGCUGAAGGAUGGGCUCAUGUCUGAUUAGCUAGUUGGUGAGGUAACGGCUCACCAAGGCGACGAUCAGUAGCCGGUCUGAGAGGAUGAACGGCCACAUUGGGACUGAGAUACGGCCCAG